UGGGGAAUAUUGGACAAUGGGCGAAAGCCUGAUCCAGCCAUGCCGCGUGUGUGAAGAAGGCCUUUUGGUUGUAAAGCACUUUAAGCGAGGAGGAGGCUACUUAGAUUAAUACUCUAGGAUAGUGGACGUUACUCGCAGAAUAAGCACCGGCUAACUCUGUGCCAGCAGCCGCGGUAAUACAGAGGGUGCGAACGUUAAUCGGAUUUACUGGGCGUAAAGCGUGCGUAGGCGGCUUCUUAAGUCGGAUGUGAAAUCCCUGAGCUUAACUUAGGAAUUGCAUUCGAUACUGGGAAGCUAGAGUAUGGGAGAGGAUGGUAGAAUUCCAGGUGUAGCGGUGAAAUGCGUAGAGAUCUGGAGGAAUACCGAUGGCGAAGGCAACCAUCUGGCCUAAUACUGACGCUGAGGUACGAAAGCAUGGGGAGCAAACAGG
rnacentral:rRNA from 1 species